AGGGGAGGAAGGCAGCAACUCACACUGCCAUGUGUGUACCUAUGCAACUAUUUUGCAUGUUCUUCACAUGUACCCCAAAACCUAAAAUGCAAUUAAAAAAAAAUUAAGAGAAUUUCAUUAUCAUUAUAGCAAGUGCAAUGGCUCACGCCUGUAAUCCUAGCACUUUCGGAGGCCAAGGAAGGAGGGUGAGAUCAAGAGUUUGAGACCAGCCUGACCAGCAUGCUGAAACCCCAUCUCUACUAAAAAUACAAAAAUUCUUCGGUGCAGUCGUCACUCGCGUCAGGCUACCGGCUCCUCGCUGCCCUGCGCUCGGCGGGCUGGCAUCCGGCCCCGGGAAAAGCGGAGAAAGUCUAAGAAGCUAAGUGUCCCGGCGGCGGCGCACCUCGCGGCGAGAAUCCGGAGGAGGAGAAGACUGCAAGGAUAGGCCCAGGAGUAAUGGAGUCCAAAGAGAAACGAGCGUUAAACAAUCUCAGCGUGGAAAAUGCCGACCAAGAAAAUGAAGAAAAGGAAGAAAAGAAACAAGUUGCUAAUAAAGGGGAGCCCUUGGCCCUCCCUUUGGAUGCUGGUGAAUACUAUGUGCCUAGAGGAAAUUGUAGGCGGUUCCGCGUUAGGCAGCCCAUCCUGCAGUUAUAGAUGGGACAUGGUGCAUAGGCUUGGAGAACCACAGGUAAGGAUGAGAGAGGAGAAUAUGGAAAGGCUUGGGGAGGAAGUGAGACAGCUGAGGGAAAAGCAGUUGAGUCAUAGUCUGCGGGCUGUCAGCACUGACCCCCCUCACCAUGACCAUCACGAUGAGUUUUGCCUUAUGCCCUGAAUCCUUAUUAGGGAGGCAGACUCCUGCUUUCGAAAUUUACAUGUUCAUUAUCUGCCCUUGUUGUAAACCUUUACCUGUCACUUGUUUACGUGGGUCUCCUAUUACCAGCUUCUUAUUGAAUAUUGUGUUUCUGACCCAGUCUGUAAGAUUUUUGUUAGCAGAAGAAUUUUACCUAUUGCAUGGAAAGAUGUUCAUUAUAUAUUGUGAAGUUAAUAAAGCAGCUUUAAAAAGUAAAAAAAAAAAACAAAAAACAAAAAUUAGCCCCGUGUGGUGGUGUGUGCCUAUAAUCCCAGCUACUCAGGAGGCUGAGGCAUGAGAAUAGCUUUAACCCAGGAGUUGGAGGUUGCAGUGAGCAAAGAUUGCACCACUGCACUCUAGCCUGGGCAACAAACUGAGACUCCAUCUCAAAAAAUAAAAAAUAAAAAGAAAGAAGGGUAUCAUUGUAAUGAACCAAUUAGAAAAGGCUUUAUGAGGCUGGGUACCAUGGCUCACGCCUGUAAUCCCAACACUUUAGUAGAUUGAGGCAGGCGGAUCACCCAAGGUCAGCCUGGCCAAUGUGGUAAAACCGUAUCUCUACUAAAAAUACAAAAAUUAGGUGGGCAUGGUGGUGCGUGCCUGGACUCCCAGCCACUUAGGAGGCUGAGGCAGGAGAAUCACUUGAACCUGGGAGGAGGAGGUUGCAGUGAGCCAAGAUCACGCCACAGCACUCCAGCCUGGCCUACAGAGUGAGACUUCAUCUCAAAAAAAAAAAGACAAUAGGAUUUGAGCUGAGACUCUGACCUUUAUUUCUGAUCUUAAAAUACCUUGAUUUCUGUAAGUGGUUAAAGGAUACUUGCAUGCUGACAAGAAAGGAAGACUACUGUGGGGGAUGUUAUGGCCAUAUUACAUACAAGUAAGAUAGCUUUCAAUGGAUGACUGCUGUUAAUCAUUUGUGGUAAAAUGAAGAAUCCAGAAAGGUUUUUUGUAUAGACUGAUAAUGUUCUUUAGGAAAUUACUUUGAGCCGGACGUGGUGGCUUAGGCCUGUAAUCCCAACACUUUGGGCGGCCAAGGUGGGCAGAUAACUUGAGAUCAGGAAUUUGAGACCAGCCUGGCCAACAUGGUGAAACCUUGUCUGUACUAAAAAUACAAAAAUUAGCUGGGCAUGAUGGCGAGUGCCUGUAAUUCCAGCUAUUUGGGAAGCUGACACAUGAGAAUUGCUUGAACCUGGGAAGCAGAGGUCAAAGUGAGCUGAGUUGGCACCACUGCACUCCAGCCUGGAUGACAGAGAGAGAGAGACUCCGUCUCAAAAAUAAAAGAAAGAAAGAAAGAAAAGAAAAUUACUUUCAGCAUAUUUUGGGUAUAUCAUAUGGGCAGAGCAUCCAGAGUACCUACUAGGCACACAGCAGAGUAACCAGUGUUUGCAGGUUUUACAUAACUUAUUUAGGAAGGUUGCCAAUUUUACAAGGCCAUUGUUAUUGAAUCAGUACCAGUGGCUGUGAGCACAAUGUGAAAUCCCCGCAGGCAACACAAGAACAGAAAUCAUUAAACUAUCUGGUAGUGGCUUUAUGGUUUAUUUAAAGAAAAAAAAAGCACAUUCAAGUAUGCAAAGCAAAACUUAUUGCUCUUCUUCCUCCAGGUGCUUAAUUUUAGAUGUUAUUAUUACAUCGGCAUCACAUGGUAGGCAAGGUGGUUCCCAUGACACAGAGGGCUUAUAAUAUUUAUAGUGGAGUAAGCCAUAAGGGGAAAGGUGUGCUGAUUGCUAUUUUUUCUUGUUAUUAUUGACUUGGUUGCUAGUUUUUAAUGGCCUGGUUGCUAAUUAAUGGCUUAAUGUAUUCGGUGUUCUAUAUAAGCAACGUACAACUCAUUAGUUUCUAAGUCAACUACACAUGAAAAUCAUUCUAGUGGAUAUGAGAAUGUUUCAUACAAAUAGUAAGCCUGUGAUUGUACAUUAAUCAAUGAAGAUCAAGAACUGUAUAAAUGCCAUGUUACACUAAGCCCAAAUGACAGUUUAAUGAUAUUGAGUCAAAAAAGAGACACUGCAACUACUAAAAAUUUAGAGAUUAUGCCCUAAUAAUGCCUGUGCCAAGAAAAAUGGCAUACUGAAACUAGGUAAGAGAAACUGUAUAUUUCAUAACAUUUAGUGAUUCUAACCAAAUGAAUUUAAACCUAGUAUAAUUUUUUUUCAAAAUUAAAAACUGAAUAAUGUAGUAGACUGGCUAGUUAUCUAUAAUGUAAAGAUUUAAACUGUUGGUUUAAUCAUACUUUUUUAUUGUUUCCUCUUAGAAUUGCUUGAGUACAUCUGUUCAGAACAGGUUUUAAUCCAGGCUAUUAGUGUGCUGGGGCUUAUUCCCCCCCGUACCUCUCCUAUAGUCAAUCUUAGUUAUCGUGGUAGUCUAUGCCCAUGCUACUGGAAUUUUCUCUUCUUCUUUUGUUGCUAUUUUAGAUGCUUGGAGAAAUUCUCAGCAAGCCCAUAUGCCCUGUUUGUCAGAAAAUAAUAGUGUCAUGAGAAAGUUUGUUAUGCUUUAAAAAAACAAAUCUAGGCCAGGCGCGGUGGCUCACUCCUAUAAUCUCAGAACUUUGGUAGGCUGAGGCAGGCAGAUCACCAGGUCAGGAGAUCGAGAUCAUCCUGGCCAACACUGUGAACCCAUCUCUACUGAGGCUGUGGACUGAGGCAGGAGGAUUGCUUGAGCUCAAGAGGUCAAGGCUGCAGUGAGCUAUGAUUAUGACACUGCACUUCAGCCUGGGUGACAGAGUGAGACCCUGUCUCAAAAAAAAAAAAAACUUGUCCUGGGUGAGUGAUUUUUUUUUUUUAAUGGAACCAGUCUUAUCAGUAAAGCAGAAAGCUUGGCUGUAUUUUAAUAUUUGCAGAUAAUGCAUGUUUAUUAUAGAAAAAUAAAACAUUGAGACAUUUCUCCUCCCUCCAAAAACAUUACUCUUAUUUUUAUUUCCCAAAUAGAUUUACUGUUAACACCAUCCAGGUUAACACAUAUCUUUUACGUGUAUGUGUAUGCUUUUAAAAAUGGGAUGGUCCCAUGUCUACUGCUUUGCAACCUCAUUAUUUUCACUUCAGCAUAUUGAGAACAUCCUGCCUUGUCCCCAAAUGCAUUUUUUUCAUAUCCUUUUUACUGGUUGUUUGUUUUCCAUAAAACUGAUUCAUAUUCUGUCCGAUUGUUGAGCAUUUCAGUUGUGUCCAGUUUUUUGCAGUUAUAAACAGAACCUCACUGAAUGAACAUCCUUAUGCUUCAGUCUUUGCCCAUGUCCCUAAAAGACAUAUUCUAAGGGUCAAUUCUGGGAUUGCUAGGACAAAGAACAUAUGUAUUUCUAGGGCUUUUGAUACAGGCUGCUGGUUUGCUCACCUGUUGGACCAGUCUACACUCCCAUCAGCAGAUGUAAUUCAUAUUUCUGAUGCUCCUGAAAUGAUAAAUAAAAGUUUUUAAAAAUACAAUUCCAUCUUUCAGUUCUUCUGAGCUACUUGGAGACCCAGAAAAAUUGAUUCUCACUUGUCUUUGCUAUCAAGACCCUCUUUCAUACCUAAGUACUGGCGAAAAAUACAUCAGUGAGUUGUUUGGGUAGAACUAAUGGAAAGAUGAAAUAAUACAACAUCGAUAGUCAAGAUGAAGAAACUAAUUAUCCCAGGGUGUUUUUGGGCAGAUAGGUAGUGCUUGUAAAUUUAGGUUUGCUCCCCACAUUGUCAGUUUAUUCUAAAAGUAUUACCAUUUUAGACUUAAAGAAUUGAAAGACAAAAGAUAAGCAAACAGACUUGCUUAGGUUAUGUAGCAAAUUAAUUCAGACCUUGAACAACAUUUCAUUGUGCUGUUUAGGAAGUGUUAAGCAUGAGAUUUCCCUUAGUGCUAUCUUACUAUGAUACUUAAAUUUUGCAAGAUGAUCAAAUAGAUUUUUAUUAUUAUGCUUAUGAAGUUAGAAUUUCCUGCCCUUAUUUAUAGAAAGCACUUCACAUAUUUCACAAAGCUGAGGAGAUUAACUUUUUUUUUGUAGGAGAUUAACUUUUUAGGGAAUUAGUCAUUUAAAUUCUUGAACCAAAGGCUAUAUGAUUAUUGAAUAUAGGAGAAAGGAGAAACGUAUGCAUGUUUCUCAAAGGCUCUUUCUUUAGAUUUCACCAGCAGAUCUAAACACUAUCCAUAGGGGCCUAUGGCAAAUUUACCAAAAAAGGGGGGAAUAAAAGGAAAGAAAAAGAAAAGACAGGAAGGAGGUUUCUUUGUCUAUUACUGCUGGCUUCAGUAGUGUUGGUUGCCUGCCUCUCUUUGACACUGUGACACUUCCUUAAUGAAGGUGUGUGUUUAAAUCACAGACAGGGAAAGUGCUUUCCGGUGAAGUUUCACUUUGUGUAGUGACAGCAGUUCUGGACAUGGUGCUGGCACAGAGGGUGAGUUCAGCACCUUCUCUUCAGAUCGGAUCUCUGCCCACAGCUCAUCUCUUUUACAUAGCAAGCCUUUGUUCACUAAAGAGUAGACCUGUGGUUGGCCUGUCCACCUACUGUCAGAGACCAAAGGUGACUGAUAAGGAGUCCAACGGUCAAAACAGAUAGUGUGAGGUCAAUCCAGCUUUAAGGAGAAAAGCCAUUGUUUUGAAGUGCAGGCAUCAAAAACUGAAUUGCAGCCUGAGAGAUGUUCAGUUCAUCAGCUUUGGCCAUUCAGCUCCCAUCAAAGAAAAAUCACUAGCUGUUUCUGUGGUCAGCAGGAGCAGAAAAGAAAGAAAACUUUUUAAAAUGUGUGAUUUAAUUAAAUUGUGUUGUAUUGGAGAUUUCUUUCCAGAAAUGGUUUCUUUGUGAGUGUUGCUUUGCUUACUAUGAGAAUGCAAGUAUUAAAUUAAAAAACCAAAGGUAAACCACAAUUACUAGGGCCUUUUAUUGGGUUUUUUAAUAGAAAGUCAAUUAGAUUAGAUUCAGGUAUUUCAUAUACUGACAUUACCUUUUGACCUAUUAGGGUCCGAUGGAGCAUUAGGAAAGGCAAGUGAUAUUUGCAUUAUUAUUAAGGCUAACACUUUUUAAUUAAAUUGGCUUUUACUAAGUAUUUAGCUAACUUCAGAAUUGAGAUACUACAAGUGUUUUCAACCUGAUUCAAAGUUUCCAUUUUAGGGAAUGUCUAAGUUAGCAGUGGUCCUUACAUAUAGUCAUUGAGAGACUGUAAGCUAAGCUAUUGUCCUUAUCCUCUAGUCUAGCAAAAGAUUUUGUGCAGGACAGCCAUAUAAUUUUCAGGGCCUGGUGCAAAGUGAAAAGGCAGGGCCUGUUGUUGUUCAGAAACAAGAAUUUCAAGACAGCACCAGCAGAGCAUUAAGCCAAUUCCUUCAAGCACCAAACCCUGUACAGGCCACAAGUGCAUCCCUGACGGGGAAGUGAAGUUAAAUAGAUGGUGGAUUUGAUUAGAACUCUGCUUCUUAUUUAUGUUAUUUCUGAACCACUGUUUUCUCUAUUUUUUAUCUUUCUAUAAAAUUUUUCUUGUUCUAUUCUCUUGCCAAACUUGGAGACCCUGAAGGAAGAAUUGGGAGUAUGUAUACUUAAAUUUCUUAGUCCAUGUGAGAACUUCUGCAAGAACUUCUGUAUUUUCUUGUGUUUGGCUGGUGUAGCAAUUGAGAUUAGAGUUUUGGUUUUAGGAAAGUGAGUAAUUUAUUUAAUUAAAAAUACAUAUACCACAUUAUAAUUUUAAAAGCUCUUUCACAAUUCAUAUAACAUUUGAUUCAAACAAUUAUGCUUUUGAGGCAGUUAGUAUUUUUUCCUCUCAUCUUAUAGAUAAGAAAAUUAAGCCUCAGAGAGGUUGAGACUUUCUCAAAGUCAGCCAGCU